GACGUAGGGCGCGAGCGUUGUCCGGAUUUAUUGGGCGUAAAGAGCUCGUAGGCGGUUUGUCGCGUCUGCUGUGAAAACUCAGGGCUUAACCCUGAGCCUGCAGUGGGUACGGGCAGACUAGAGUGUGGUAGGGGAGAUCGGAAUUCCUGGUGUAGCGGUGAAAUGCGCAGAUAUCAGGAGGAACACCGAUGGCGAAGGCAGGUCUCUGGGCCACUACUGACGCUGAGAAGCGAAAGCAUGGGGAGCGAACAGG
rnacentral:rRNA from 1 species